rnacentral:rRNA from 1 species
GACGUAGGGGGCCAGCGUUGUUCGGAAUUACUGGGUGUAAAGGGUUCGUAGGCGGUGCGGCAAGUUGGGAGUGAAAUCUCUGGGCUUAACCCAGAGGCUGCUUCCAAAACUGCUGUGCUUGAGUGUGGGAGAGGCGCGUGGAAUUGCAGGUGUAGCGGUGAAAUUCGUAGAUAUUCGGAAGAACACCAGUGGCGAAGGCGACUUACUGGACACAUAUUGACGCUGAGGUGCGAAAGCGUGGGGAGCAAACAGG